UACGAAGGGGGCUAGCGUUGCUCGGAAUCACUGGGCGUAAAGCGCACGUAGGCGGAUUGCUAAGUCAGGGGUGAAAUCCUGGAGCUCAACUCCAGAACUGCCUUUGAUACUGAGGAUCUUGAGUUCGGGAGAGGUGAGUGGAACUGCGAGUGUAGAGGUGAAAUUCGUAGAUAUUCGCAAGAACACCAGUGGCGAAGGCGGCUCACUGGCCCGAUACUGACGCUGAGGCACGAAAGCGUGGGGAGCAAACAGG
rnacentral:rRNA from 1 species